rnacentral:rRNA from 1 species
GGCAGGCUUAACGCAUGCAAGUCGAGGGGCAGCAUGCUUUUAGCUUGCUAAGGCCGAUGGCGACCGGCGCACGGGUGAGUAACACGUAUCCAACCUGCCGUCUACUCUUGGACAGUCUUCUGAAAGGAAGAUUAAUACAAGAUGGCAUCAUGAGUCCGCAUGUUCACAUGAUUAAAGGUAUUCCGGUAGACGAUGGGGAUGCGUUCCAUUAGAUAGUAGGCGGGGUAACGGCCCACCUAGUCUUCGAUGGAUAGGGGUUCUGAGAGGAAGGUCCCCCACAUUGGAACUGAGACACGGUCCAAACUCCUACGGGAGGCAGCAGUGAGGAAUAUUGGUCAAUGGGCGAGAGCCUGAACCAGCCAAGUAGCGUGAAGGAUGACUGCCCUAUGGGUUGUAAACUUCUUUUAUAAAGGAAUAAAGUCGGGUAUGGAUACCCGUUUGCAUGUACUUUAUGAAUAAGGAUCGGCUAACUCCGUGCCAGCAGCCGCGGUAAUACGGAGGAUCCGAGCGUUAUCCGGAUUUAUUGGGUUUAAAGGGAGCGUAGAUGGAUGUUUAAGUCAGUUGUGAAAGUUUGCGGCUCAACCGUAAAAUUGCAGUUGAUACUGGAUAUCUUGAGUGCAGUUGAGGCAGGCGGAAUUCGUGGUGUAGCGGUGAAAUGCUUAGAUAUCACGAAGAACUCCGAUUGCGAAGGCAGCCUGCUAAGCUGCAACUGACAUUGAGGCUCGAAAGUGUGGGUAUCAAACAGGAUUAGAUACCCUGGUAGUCCACACGGUAAACGAUGAAUACUCGCUGUUUGCGAUAUACUGCAAGCGGCCAAGCGAAAGCGUUAAGUAUUCCACCUGGGGAGUACGCCGGCAACGGUGAAACUCAAAGGAAUUGACGGGGGCCCGCACAAGCGGAGGAACAUGUGGUUUAAUUCGAUGAUACGCGAGGAACCUUACCCGGGCUUAAAUUGCAGAUGAAUUACGGUGAAAGCCGUAAGCCGCAAGGCAUCUGCGAAGGUGCUGCAUGGUUGUCGUCAGCUCGUGCCGUGAGGUGUCGGCUUAAGUGCCAUAACGAGCGCAACCCUUGUUGUCAGUUACUAACAGGUUCCGCUGAGGACUCUGACAAGACUGCCAUCGUAAGAUGUGAGGAAGGUGGGGAUGACGUCAAAUCAGCACGGCCCUUACGUCCGGGGCUACACACGUGUUACAAUGGGGGGUACAGAGGGCCGCUACCACGCGAGUGGAUGCCAAUCCCCAAAACCUCUCUCAGUUCGGACUGGAGUCUGCAACCCGACUCCACGAAGCUGGAUUCGCUAGUAAUCGCGCAUCAGCCACGGCGCGGUGAAUACGUUCCCGGGCCUUGUACACACCGCCCGUCAAGCCAUGGGAGCCGGGGGUACCUGAAGUGCGUAACCGCGAGGAGCGCCCUAGGGUAAAACUGGUGACUGGGGCU